GACAGAGGUCCCGAGCGUUAGGCGGAAUCACUGGGCUUAAAGCGUGUGUAGGCGGAUUGGUAAGUACCUUGUGAAAUCCCACGGCUCAACCGUGGAACUGCUUGGUAUACUGCUUAUCUUGGGCCACUUAGGGGCUACCGGAACAAACGGUGGAGCGGUGAAAUGCGUAGAUAUCGUUUGGAACGCCAAUGGUGAAAACAGGUAGCUGGGAGUGUGCCGACGCUGAGACACGAAAGCCAGGGGAGCGAACGGG
rnacentral:rRNA from 1 species